UACGUAGGGUGCGAGCGUUAAUCGGAAUUACUGGGCGUAAAGCGCGCGUAGGCGGACCGGACAGUCAGAGGUGAAAUCCCAGGGCUCAACCUUGGAACUGCCUUUGAAACUAUCGGUCUGGAGUUCGAGAGAGGUGAGUGGAAUUCCGAGUGUAGAGGUGAAAUUCGUAGAUAUUCGGAAGAACACCAGUGGCGAAGGCGGCUCACUGGACCGUUGUUGACGCUGAGGUGCGAAAGCGUGGGGAGCAAACAGG
rnacentral:rRNA from 1 species